UACGUAGGGUGCGAGCGUUGUCCGGAAUUAUUGGGCGUAAAGAGCUUGUAGGCGGUUUGUCGCGUCUGCCGUGAAAAUCCGGGGCUCAACCCCGGACUUGCGGUGGGUACGGGCAGACUAGAGUGUGGUAGGGGAGACUGGAAUUCCUGGUGUAGCGGUGAAAUGCGCAGAUAUCAGGAGGAACACCUGAGGUGAAGACGGGUUGCUGGGCUGACACUGACGCUGAGGCGCGAAAGCCAGGGGAGCAAACGGG
rnacentral:rRNA from 1 species